UCGCCCUCAUUCGUCUGAAAGUCAUUGCUUCCUUCUAGCUACGCAGAUGCAAAUCGAAAGCAAUCGUGCCUUGGUCACGCGAGCCCUCAUUGGCUUCUUUUGAUAGUUACCAUGGUGCAAUGACAGUUGGGAUAAAUGAUUACGUCUCAUAUUGCCGCUUGCGGACCAAGCGCAAAAUGGUGCGAUUUCUGGGAAUAGCUCUGAAUUGUUUUAUUAUCAACCAUUUUCAUCUCCGUUUCUGUAACUAUGUGGAAAUUCCCUGCGCCGUGCUCAUCACUAAAAGGAACAGAAUCUAUCGACUGUAUUACGUCUAAAGGAAAUGCUUUCGAUAUCUGUUCGGAUUACAACGACGAGGUUGAAAGAAACUUACAGUUUAUCCUCUGAAAUCGAUUUAAAGGUGCAGAAAUCAAACAGGAACUCUCAGUUUGGUCUCAGUUGGGACACAUCUUAGCCAACUUGAAGGGAAUACUCUGAUAAAAUACGUCGUUUUCAGGAACUGAGAGAAGGUGCCCAUGUUAUAAGUCUUUUCUUAACAAAUAAUUCUGGUCACCUACCUUAAUUGUCUCGACUUUGACUCUUUGAGGGGAGCUGAUUUUGGCUCUUUCAUUAUGACCGGUACGCGAGACUCGUUGGCAAGUGUAGCUGAGUCAAACUUACAUAGAAACUUAUUGAUCAAUUUAUCCGUUUCGCUGCAUUUAAACUCCUGCUUUCCAUUGUUUGUUAAAACCUUCCCCUCUAAAACUGUCGUUUCAGCAUCAGGGAAGUCACGUUUAUCCUAUCUUUUUAUUAGUCACGUCUGUUCUUUAUUAGUCACGUUUACCUAUUGUUUGACUUCCGUAUUUCUCAGUAAGGUAGUAAAGCAAAAUACAGUGGAUUAAAAUGAAAAUGAAUCUCC